AACGGGUGCGUAACACGUGUAGGAACAUACCUAUCGGCGGGGGGAUAGCCGGCCCAACGGUCCGGGUAAUACCGCGUACGCUCUCCGGGGGGCAUCUCCUGGGGAGGAAAGCAGCAAUGCACCGAUAGAGUGCCUCGCGGCCUAUCAGCUAGUUGGUGAGGUAACGGCUCACCAAGGCGACGACGGGUAGCUGGUCUGAGAGGAUGAUCAGCCACAUUGGGACUGAGACACGGCCCAUACUCCUACGGGAGGCAGCAGUGGGGAAUCUUGCGCAAUGGGCGAAAGCCUGACGCAGCGACGCCGCGUGUGGGAUGAAGGUCUUCGGAUCGUAAACCACUGUCGCGAGGGACGAAUACAUUGACGGUACCUCGAAAGGAAGCACCGGCUAACUCUGUGCCA
rnacentral:rRNA from 1 species